rnacentral:rRNA from 1 species
GACGUAGGGGGCCAGCGUUGUUCGGAAUUACUGGGUGUAAAGGGUUCGUAGGCGGUGUGGCAAGUCGGGAGUGAAAUCUCUGGGCUCAACCCAGAGUCUGCUUCCGAAACUGCUGUGCUUGAGUGUGGGAGAGGCGCGUGGAAUUGCAGGUGUAGCGGUGAAAUGCGUAGAUAUCUGCAGGAACACCGGUGGCGAAGGCGGCAUCCUGGACCAACACUGACACUGAGGAGCGAAAGCCAGGGGAGCAAACGGG